GCCGAGGUGGCGGAAAGGUAGACGCAGAUGACUUAAAAUCAUCCGGGCACUCCCGUGCGGGUUCGAGUCCCGCUCUCGGCA
rnacentral:tRNA from 1 species